UGGGGAAUUUUGGACAAUGGGGGAAACCCUGAUCCAGCCAUCCCGCGUGUGCGAUGAAGGCCUUCGGGUUGUAAAGCACUUUUGGCAGGAAAGAAACGUCAUGGGUUAAUACCCCGUGAAACUGACGGUACCUGCAGAAUAAGCACCGGCUAACUACGUGCCAGCAGCCGCGGUAAUACGUAGGGUGCAAGCGUUAAUCGGAAUUACGGGGCGUAAAGCGUGCGCAGGCGGUUCGGAAAGAAAGAUGUGAAAUCCCAGAGCUCAACUUUGGAACUGCAUUUUUAACUACCGGGCUAGAGUGUGUCAGAGGGAGGUGGAAUUCCGCGUGUAGCAGUGAAAUGCGUAGAUAUGCGGAGGAACACCGAUGGCGAAGGCAGCCUCCUGGGAUAACACUGACGCUCAUGCACGAAAGCGUGGGGAGCAAACAGG
rnacentral:rRNA from 1 species